rnacentral:lncRNA from 1 species
CAAGUGGGAGUUCAAGUUUAGAGAAAACAUGUGUUGAUUUAUGAUUCAUCUCACCAAUAAUAGCAGAAUGAUCAACUGCAUCCUCAGGUGCAAGAGGGAAGACAUAGGAGGGUGGGAAAGUAGAUGGCGCAGUAGAAAGCUCAUGACUCUGCUUCCCAUCUCCUAUGUGGAUGGCACUAACAUCAUCUGGAAGCUGAACAAUCUGAAAUGGUGAUCCCUCUGAAGCUUGAGACUGUUCCUCAAUGUGUUGUGUGGCCAUUUGCCCCCACAACUCAAACAAUGUAGGCUCAGAAGAAAUAGAAUGUUGGGUCGGUGCCUCUUGCUGUUGCUAUUUUUGCUGCCUCUGAUUUUGCUCUUGCGGCUGCCUGUUGUUGAAGAUGUUUGGAGCAUAAGCGUGAGGCACAUCAAGAACAACAGGGUGGUGAAAAGAAGGACAGGCAUCAGUAUAGUGGUCACUAGAAUGACAAAUAGCACACACC